GUUUGUCUUUUUUGAAAAAUGUUUGAAAUUCAUUUUUUUUGUGUUUUUAAAAAAGUUCACGUUUUUAAAAGAAAGAUUUGGAGCUUCUAUAAAAAAACUCUACCUUGCCUUGUUCGUGUCGUUAUAGUACACGGUCCGGUCACUACAGUACAUGUUUGAUCUGCCCCUCCCCAUAGUGCUUUUAGUAUUUCGCGGUGUAUAACAAUCACCACCGUGUCAUCAGCUCGAGUGGCCAGCGAGGCAUUUAGUACCCAGAGGUCGCGGGAUCGAUCCCCCACGGGCACAUAGGACCUCUCAUCCAACCCAGCCACCAGCAGCAGCAGCCUCUUGGGCUCUCGGCCUCGAGCACGGGCUCGUCCACGAGCACCCAGGCCCGAGCCUCGAUCCAGGAUCGAGAGGAGAUCGAUCCCCAGCGCCCUGCCUCGGCUGUGCGACCCGGCCGGCAACCAGGAACCUAGCGCCGCUAUUCCUCGAGCUCUCCGCACCAACUCGACCGGAUCCGCGACCGUCCGUCGCGCCAAGACCUGCACCGAGCCGACGCGUCUGCAGCAUCACACAGCCCCACAACCGCGCACCUCGCUGGCGCGCGUGCAUCGAGCUGUCUCCAUCCUCCCGUACUUCUCUGCCUCGCCGGAAAGGAGCCCCAGCACUCGCGUCGGCGCCCCUUGCCUAGUGGCUAAACACAGGGACGCAUGGUGUACGGCACCGCGGCCACAUGCUGGCCUCUCUUCGGUGCUGCUGCCACCGCGUUGUUCUCCUUUCGCUCCCCACCCAGCCCUAAUCUUCAUAUUUUUACUGCAAAAAACAAAGGUUGUUAAAAUAAUAGUCCCACCUCGCUCCUUUGCAUCCAAACUAAUCGAUUUAUAUACACCGGUGGCCUUGCAACAUCAGAAGUCAGGAAGCAGAGGACAGGAACAAAACGAAGAAAUUAACCCCAUAUAAGGGGGAAAGAUGGGAGCAAUUGGAAAAAGCUCAACUGGCAACAGCCACGGGACGGAUCUGUUUCUGCCAAGUUCAUGUUUAAAGAGAAAAGUGAGGCACGCUUCAAUUAAUUCUUCUGACAUAAUUAAACCUUCCUCGGUCCGGUCGUUGCAGAUUUGCAACGAUCUGGUUUUUUUAAAGAGAAAUGAAAAUUAUCUAGAUUUAUCUAGAUUACGGCAUGCAACCGUUCGGAUGUUGUUUUGAUGGAUAGACUAAUUUCUCCCGUUACAACGCACGGGCAUACGUGCUAGUAAUCUUUCCCUAAUUUUUAAUAAUAAAGCACGGAUUGACUUUGUCGGGUUCACCGUCA